rnacentral:tRNA from 1 species
GUCCCCGUAGCUCAGCUGGAUAGAGCGUGAGAUUCCGGAUCUCAAGGCCAGAGGUUCAAGUCCUCUCGGGGACGCCA